GGGGAUUAACUUUCAGAUCUUUCUCCAUCCAAAGCCUCUGUAGCGUCCACAGCUCCAGUUAAUGAAUUGUGAUGUGCUAUGCAAACAAGUGGGUCAUGUACCAUAGAGCAUAUCUGGCUGUGGUUUCCCACCUACUGUCAGUGCUGCACCUGCAAGAGCAUCCAUGAAACAGUCAAAGACUCUCAUGAUGUCUGGGGCAGCACAGAGUCUGACAUCAAGUUUUUCUGUCUCUCCUCUAUUGUACCUUGCAAAUAAAGCAGACAUUUUACUAGUGGUAACAAACCAUUUCACGGAAAAAUAUGCAUUCCAUCAGUGGGUCUAGUCCAUAUAAGGUGUAGUUAAAGCUACCUGCCUCUUCAAGCUCUCCCAGCCUCUUUUUCUCUCCAUUCUCAUCUCACUGCCUGGGCUCAUACUUUCAUUAACUCUUCAAGAACGUUCUAUUCCUCCACUACUGCCAGCAGUGUGUUGCUUACAAACCAUUUCCUACAACACAGACAAGGAUGAUGUGUUUAAAGUGGAAAUCUGUCUACACCACUUGCCUCACCCUCAGGCAAAAAUCUACCAAUUUCAUCACUGUGCAUGGGAUCAAGUCUAACCUUUUUAGUACUAUAAAAAUACCCACCUUCUGCCUUAAUAUUACUUCUCAUUGACCCCCCCCCCUCUUAUUUUAGGUUUGAGCCAUAAUAGAUGAUGGGCAUUUUCUCCUAUGGUAGGUUGUAUUGUUGUUUAAAAUAUUCAAUACUAUUCCUUAUUAGACACCUCCGUGUGGAGCUUUAUCCCUUGGCCAUGUGACUUGCUUUGGCCAGUGAAAUGUAACAGAAAGUGACAAGUGGCCUUUCUAAGCCAUCAUGACAUUUUAUCAUAUUCUUCCCUUGACUCCUGAUCUAUGUGUUCCAGGCAGGGGCUGCUGUUUCACCCUGGACUCCAGAAUAAAGAAGUUGUGAAACCAAUUCUAAGUCAAUCUGUGAUUGUUAUGUGAAAUGAGAGAGAAAUUCAGGCUUAUUGUAAGAUACUAAGAUUUUAGGGUUGCUUGUUAUCAUCACAGAACAUUAUGUGGUGACUAAAAUUUCUCUUGUCCUUCUUUUCCGGCUCACUCUACCACGUACUCUAUUUUUAUGAUAGCACCUCUGUCAUCAAAUGGCAUUUGAUUUUAUGUAUUUGUCUUCCCUUUUAGCUGGAGGAGCUCUCAAGAGCAAGAUAUUGUGUGUUUGUUUAACCAGUGUACCUCCAGGGCCCAGAACAAACUGGCCUUUGGAACAUGUUGUGUGAAUAUGUGAGUCAAGCUAUUCACCCACAAAUCUUGUUCACAUGAUAAUCAAUCAAAUUAAUAGAAAUCGAAGAGAUUAUUAUCAAUAUUUGGGAUAAGAGAGAGAUGCUAAGUAUAUAAUUAAGAUCGGAAAGGUAGGCAUUAUAGAAAGAAACAGAGCUUGGCAUUUUCCAAUAGAAAUUAUGGUGUACAGUACUGAGGAAAGAAUUUUGUACAUGAUAUGGGGUUGAUAUGAGGCCAUUCAAAAGUUUUCCACCGACCUCCUAAACCAUGUGGAUUUACUUUUCCUUUACAACUGCCAAGAAGAAAAGUAACAUUCUCAACACCCUUGCUUUUAAAAGAAGAGAUUUGGUUGCAUGUAAAAGAGAGAAUAAAAAGGCAUCGACUCUCCUUGAGUCAGUGAUUCGUAAUAACCCUCCUGACACUCAUCCUUUUGCCUUGCCUGGCCUGAUAUGUCACUUUCUCUGAUAUCUGUUGUUCUAGUCCCCUUUCUACAACUUCUCUUGCCUUGUUUUAAUGUCAUCCUGACACUAGCCAUUUAUAUUACCCAUAUUGUUGGGUACCAGGAUAAAUGCAGUGUGUAUGAGCAUCCACAGGAAGAUACCUUUCUUGGGAAUCAAACCCAACUAAAAAUGCUAGAACAGAUAAUUGAUUCGUGAAUUCGAUAUUCACUUACUGAUUCACAAAUGAACGUUGAGGGGUGCUGGGCGCAGAGGAGCUGCUAACACCCCUACUGGAGGAUCCUUCCCUGUCUCAGAAUUGGUCAUUGAGAAGAUAUCCUGAACUUUUUUUUUUUUUUUUUUUGCUUUAGUUUUGUCACCUGCUGUCCCACGAUAUAUGAUAAAGACAGGUGAGCUUUUGAACUUGUUAAGCCCUUAUUUGACUAAGGUCAAGUUUGAAUCUUGAUCACUGGAGGUCAAACAGUGAAUUGGUCACCAAAGCCAGGACUAGGAUCAGAGUAUCUUGUGUCCUAGGCUCUAUUUCCCUCCUUUUUCUUUCAUUUAAAAAUAGUCUUUUUUUGAAAGAUUCAUUGAAAAGAGUUUCAAGGAGAGUCAAGGAGUUUCUAGCAGUUUGUCAUUAGUCAUGUAAAUAAUCUCAUGCUAACCUCCAGUUUAUUUAUCCUGCACACCACCAGGAGCUCCAGCUCUGGAACCAUGGGAAUCAGACCUGGGCUGAUGACAACGUGGCUGUCUCCCCAUCACUGCAUAUUCUCAGACAAGUCACUUAACAAAUCAGAGCCUCAGUUUCCACUUCUGUUAAGCAUGUAAAACCUGCCUACCAAUGUGAGGGUUGCAUGCAACAAUGCCUGAGAAAGUGCCUCUGACCCUGACAAGAGACACACUACUGCAAGCCAUUGCCAUGUCAGAUGUGUCUUUAUACACUGGGGGUUCAGAUAAAUUACCAUCUUUCGCUUCAACUAGGUCAAGCGUAAGCUUAGAAUUUCCUGAAUGCAUAAUUUCAUUGUUAGGCAUAAAGCUAGUAUGUGAGAUUUAAAAAUACAUAUUUUUUCCUCUCCUCAUUAGUUACAGCAUGUGAUUUCUCAGUAAAAACAUUUCCUCUGUGACUGUCAUAAAAUCACUGUGAUUUCCUAAUAAGGAAAUAUACUCAAAGUCUACCCAAGGUCUCUAUUUCCUACCACUUCGGGACUGCAGAAAACAGGAGUCAUCACUGGGGCUGUCAGGCUAAUUGCCCACUCAGAUUUCUGAUGGGCACCACAAAGCAUCCAAAACUAAAUAAAACAAAGCCAAACAAAGCCAGAAGGAGUUUUCGUGAGAGUUUGAGGUUUACAUUCAUAAAGGCUUUAAUUCCAUCAUGACCAAUUUCAAGGUAGACCAGAAAAAUAUAUGGUUGUUCAGCCAAAGGUCAAUCAUGAUUGAUUAAUUGACUCAAGCAUUAAUUUAUUCCUUCAGCACACAUGGGCCAGGUCCUGGGAUGCCAAGAUGAAUUGGAAUGCUUCUGUAUUCAAGGGGCCCACAGGCUAGUAAGAGUCAGAGAUAAGCAUGCAGGUAUGAAGGUAUAUUGUAGAUGCUCUCCUGUAAUCCUGCACAGGGAAUAGAAUAGGAUUCUCUUGGCGGGAGGGGAGGAGAUAAGGAUCCUCAAGAAAGGAUCCUUAGAAGGGACUGAAAGCCAAAUAGAUGUCUGUCAGACAGGUGGACCAGGAUGGAAGAGGGAGCUAGAUGGACAGUCAGAAAGAGAGACCCAUGUGAGAGUGCAGAAGAGUUUGGGGGAUGAAGUUGAAGGCCAUGCAGGAGAGUGGGGAGUGGGAUGGAGGAUGAGGAUGGACAGGAAGAGAAGACGAAGAUCUUUAUCUUCUGGGGAAGUGAGAUCAGGGAUCUGAACCAGGAAGGGAGAGUGGGGUGGCAUUUAGAAGUAUUUAGGAGGUACAUCAUACCGUAUCCCCAUGGGAAGGAGUCCAGGUCAACUCAUAGAUUUCCAACUUCAUCUGCGGGAAACACGGUGGCACUCAGCUGAGGAAGAGACUUUUUGAUUCAUAUUUUCUUUUGAUUCCAAGAAAUAAAAUCAGUUUCUUAUUUAUUCAUAUGUAAAGACUUUUGGGUGGUAGCUCGGGAGACCAUAAAAGAACACUUGACCUUAUAUAAAUGCCUUAACCAAAAAAAUUGUUAACAGCAGCAGCAAGAAACAUGGAUAUAUAGGGGGAGAGAAAAAAAUAAAUGGAAAAAUGUAAUCCAUGGAGUUGGAUAGGCCCAGAUUCAAAUCCUGGCUGGACUGCAAACUAAAAUCUGACCUCGAGGACAGUUAUUUAACUUCUCUCAGUCAUGAGAACAUACCUGGGUUAAUAGUAUGAUACUUAAACAUGCUAAUGAACAUAAAAGAUGAAAGUGUUCAAUAAACUCUCUGCCUUCCUCCCGCCCUCCCACUCUGCCUGGCUUCUGUUGUGUCUGAGUUAUCCCAGACUCCCAGGAUAAAGAACCUGACUUCCCCUGCAUCCAGAUAAUCCCCUCUCUAUUCCCUUCUUCAGCAAUCCUGGUUGAUGACUGGCCUUUAAAUCCCAUGUUCAAGACAAGGCUUCUUCCUUUAAGACUACCCCCUGGGAUGUUCUUCCAGGCAUUCUGCUGGCUCACUCUCCCUCCAGCUCUCUAACACAUUUGAAUUCUUCCUUUCCUCUGACAGCUUCUUUUUGACCUUAGAACACACUCCUGUUUCCUCCAAUUUAGAAAACACGAAUCAAAACACACCAGCAUUUCUAAAAGAGGCUGCUGAUCCUGUGCCAUGUUUUUCCUCCUGGCUCUUCUGUCUGGAGCACGGCAACCUUAACGCGUAUCCUCUGGACACCAUUUCACACUCAUCCCUAAACCUCUGCAGGUGGAUUCUUCACUAAACUGAAGAUAGAUCAGUGUGUGUCUGUCACCUUCCCAGCUCAAACUGAGAAGAGAUGCCAUCUGGAGUUGUGUGGCCCAGGAGCAAGAAAGGAAAGCCAGGAUACGAAACGCCAGGAGACAAAUCUGAAGGAGUCAGAAGAAACCCAUCUGCCCUGUGGAGUUCAAGGUCUCAGUUGGCCUUGAAGCACCGGCUUGACUGACUGACCUGAAGCAGAAGCCAAGACCUCUGUCUGCAGCCUGCACCUCCACAGCCCUGUCAUCGGGCCCUUCCCCAGCCUCCCCAGGGAGCGAGUUCUGCCAGUCAGCUCAUUUACAUCAUAAUGAGAGUCUGUCUCUGUCUCUUUAUCGUGGAAAAAAAAAAAAAAAAUGAGUGCCUUUGACAGUCUUUCUUCCCUGAUGAGAUGUCUGAUAAACUGUCUGUCUUAGACAAAAAGUUACUUUAUCACAGUGUUUCACAAAUAAGAAGAAAAUUGUCAGGAUCCAAAUAAAAGUGCUGUCUGCCUCUCCAA
rnacentral:lncRNA from 1 species